GAUGAACGCUGGCGGCGUGCUUAACACAUGCAAGUCGAACGAGGUCCAUGGAGCUUGCUCCGGACGACCUAGUGGCGAACGGGUGCGUAACACGUGAGAAACCUGUCCCGAACUCUGGGAUAACAGUUGGAAACGACUGCUAAUACCGGAUACCUCCACCGAGUCGCAUGGCUCGGUGAAGAAAGGUCCGCCGGUUCGGGAGGGUCUCGCGGCCUAUCAGCUUGUUGGAGAGGUAACGGCUCACCAAGGCAUCGACGGGUAGCUGGUCUGAGAGGAUGAUCAGCCACACUGGAACUGAGACACGGUCCAG
rnacentral:rRNA from 1 species